UUGACCGACCGGCGAACCGAUAUCAGAUUGACCUGCCUCUGCCCUGAUGUGCCUCUAGGUGCGGUCGGGUGGCAGACCUCUCUUAACAAAGCAACUUCCGGCACCAAGCGCGCCAAGGAACGGACAGGGCGUGCCCGCUGCGUGACCGAACCGGACAUCACACGUGCGUACGUAGGACUCUCGGCAACAGAUAUCUCAGCUCUCGCAUCGAUGGAGAACGUAGCGAAAUGCGAUACUUGGUGUGAACUGUAGAAUCUUGUAAACCAUCGAGUCUUUGAACGCAAGUUGCGCCCAAGGCCAUAAGGCCGAUGGCACGUCUGUCUUGCCAUCACGCCACUCAUCGCUUCCCUCCCCCCCCCCAAUCAACCCGGAGGGUGAUGCGGAGACUGGCCGCCCGUGCAGAAGAGAUCUUCGUAUGCGGUCGGCCUAAAUGGAGGAGCGUUGCGGGGUUGGACGCGAAUAGUGGUGGCCGUACAGAGCUGCGGACGCCACGCCUACCCAUGCCGCACUGCGUGGAAUGAGAGGGGCACGGAUUGCGGGCCGUCGAUACGACUUGUGCAGAUCGGCGUGCCGGCUCCCGAAUGACGAGUG
rnacentral:rRNA from 1 species